CUUACCCUGAUACAAAAGGUACUAUAAAAUACUUAAACUAUUUUAAUAAUUAAAAAUCUCGAGUAAAA
rnacentral:tRNA from 1 species